GACAAACGCUGGCGGUAUGCCUAACACAUGCAAGUCGAACGGACAGAACAGGGAAGCUUUUCGGAGUGGAACUGGAAAGUUAGUGGCGGAUGGGUGAGUAACGCGUGGACAACCUACCUUGUAAAGGGGAAUAACCUCGAGAAAUCGAAGCUAAUACCCCAUAAUAACCUUGCUUCGCAUGAAGUAAGGAGGAAAGGCGGCCUUAGCGCUGUCGAUACAAGAUGGGUCCGCGUCUGAUUAGCUAGUUGGUGAGGUAAAGGCUCACCAAGGCGACGAUCAGUAGCCGGCCUGAGAGGGUGAACGGCCACAUUGGGACUGAGACACGGCCCAAACGCCUACGGGAGGCAGCAGUGGGGAAUCUUCCGCAAUGGGCGAAAGCCUGACGGAGCAAUGCCGCGUGAGGGAAGAAGGCCUUCGGGUUGUAAAACUCUGUCCUUAUCGAAGAGAGAGUGUUGUAGUAACUGACAAUACUAGGACGGUAGAUGAGGAGGAAGCCCCGGCUAACUAUGUG
rnacentral:rRNA from 1 species